rnacentral:rRNA from 1 species
CGGCGGACGGGUGAGUAACACGUGGAUAACCUACCUAUAAGACUGGGAUAACUUCGGGAAACCGGAGCUAAUACCGGAUAAUAUAUUGAACCGCAUGGUUCAAUGGUGAAAGACGGUUUUGCUGUCACUUAUAGAUGGAUCCGCGCCGCAUUAGCUAGUUGGUAAGGUAACGGCUUACCAAGGCAACGAUGCGUAGCCGACCUGAGAGGGUGAUCGGCCACGCUGGAACUGAGACACGGUCCAGACUCCUACGGGAGGCAGCAGUG